CAACAUUUAUGAUUGACACAAAUAUUUCUUUAAUAAAAAAGGUCAUCGAGAGAGAGAGAGAGCAACUAUGAAUCAUUAGCUAUUGAAAAGAAAUAAAAAUGUGAGGCAAGUUGUUAGAGAGAGAAAUACGAAGACGAGAGAGAGAGAGAGAGGGCUAUUAAGGUGGGUGAGGAUUGAGUUUGAAGUCCUUUCGGCCUCGCUAUAAGCUCAAACUGGCCUCGACUAUGCUGUAUCGGGCAGUUAAGGGAUACAAGAUCGAAACAUCUCCCCUACUCCCUUUUUCGCAAACUCUCUCUCUCU
rnacentral:misc_RNA from 1 species